GGCGAACGCUGGCGGCGUGCUUAACACAUGCCAGUCGAACGGAAAGGCCCUGCUUUUGUGGGGUGCUCGAGUGGCGAACGGGUGAGUAACACGUGAGUAACCUGCCCUUGACUUUGGGAUAACUUCAGGAAACUGGGGCUAAUACCGGAUAGGAGCUCCUGCUGCAUGGUGGGGGUUGGAAAGUUUCGGCGGUUGGGGAUGGACUCGCGGCUUAUCAGCUUGUUGGUGGGGUAGGGGCUUACCAAGGCUUUGACGGGUAGCCGGCCUGAGAGGGUGACCGGCCACAUUGGGACUGAGAUACGGCCCAGACUCCUACGGGAGGCAGCAGUGGGGAAUAUUGCACAAUGGGCGGAAGCCUGAUGCAGCAACGCCGCGUGCGGGAUGACGGCCUUCGGGUUGUAAACCGCUUUCGCCUGUGACGAAGCGUGAGUGACGGUAAUGGGUAAAGAAGCACCGGCUAACUACGUG
rnacentral:rRNA from 1 species